rnacentral:lncRNA from 1 species
AGCAAAAACUAUACUGUCAUUAAACGAUUUACUCAAAACCUAUUUUCUUCGUCAUAUUUUAGUUACUAACAUUUUAAAGACACUUGACAUCUUUUAAAAUUUUGUUUAUAUACAACACUUACAGAAAAUUCAUAAUGUUUAGGCUUAAUUUUAGGAAGCAAUUGCACUGAUACAGCCAGGUUGGGCAGUGAGCCCAUCUUCAUCUUCAACAUUAGGACAUUAUGCAGGGCUUAGAAAAGGAGUCUGGGUUAAUUGUAGCAUUUUAAACGACCAUGUCCUUGCUAGCUUAGCUGCAGAGUAAGAAACCCCCUUUCAACUCCAUUGACAGCAGUGAGUCUUCCC